rnacentral:snRNA from 1 species
GUGCUUGCUUUGACAGCACAUAUACUAAAAUUCAAGUGAUAUACAGAUAGCAGCCCCCUGCACAGGAUGACAUGUAAAUUCAAGUAACUUCUGUAGUUUUU